UUUGGAUAACUCCUUUUCCUAUUGUAUGGUAAAUCUGAAACUGCUGUGUCUCUAAAUGUACCCAAUGAAGGAUAUUUUAAAAUUACAUCCUAAUUGUAAAAACAUGCUUACUGUUCACACGUUGGUGUGGAUUAAUUAGUGUAAUUAGUCUUGUGUAUAUAACCAUUGCCCAAAAUGUCUCCGACAGCUAAAUGCAACCAGCUACAUAACACCUUGUGGACAACUUUUCAUGUAAGGGCCAGGCAACUGGUGAUUUACUUUUUUUUACAUGGUUGUCAGAAAAACAACCAAAAAUCUGACACUUCAGAUUUCACUUUCUGAAAAAGAAGACAAAUUAUAAUACAUUUCUACAUUAACUUGGCUUUCACCUACAAACUUGCUUCAUUUGGAUAAGAAGUUACAGGGUUACUUCUUAUCUGAGUGAAUACCGCUGUGGCUAAUGUUAAAUGGAAACCACUGCAUAGCUUGUUGUAUAUCAAGUUCUCUUCUCUGGAUGUUUUUUAAAAAUCUGUGUAGGCUUCUCUUUUUUUAAAUAUGAAUUCUUGCAAAUGGGGACCUUUUCUCUCAUAUAUUAGAAUAGAGGGUCAUUCUUGGUGAGGGCUCCAAGAAGUAAGGUUUUACAAUUGUUACAUAACUUCACUUUGAAAGGCACAACCACCCAGCUCAGAUUAUGGAAAAGAGAAAAGUAAAUAUGAUCGAUAAAAUCUUAAAUAUAAAGUGACAUGAAUGAUAAUUAUAAAAAAUAAUUAUUCAUGUUAAAUCUAUUGAUUUAAGUGUUUUAACAUACCAAGCUUUAAUGAAAAAUCAUCUAAGAGCUCCUAUAUCUUUUCCUUUAUAAAAUAGUACCUACUGGAGUUCCUGUCAUGGUGUAGGGGAAACAAAUCUGACUAGGAACCAUGAGGUCGUGGGUUCGAUCCUUGGCAUUGCUUAGUGGGUCAAGGAUCUGGCGUUGCCAUGAGCUGUGGUGUAGAGUGCAGACAUGGCUCGGAUCUGUCAUUGCUGUGGCUUUGGCAUAGGCCAGCAGCAACAGCUCUGAUUAGACCGCUAGCCUGGGAACAUCCAUAUGCCAUGAGUGCAGCUCUAAAAAAAAAAAAAUAUAUAUAUAUAUAUAUAUCUACUGAAACUAACUUUAGAUUUACACAAUCUGUGUUGUAUUUAUGAAGACGUCAAAUCUUUAAUAAAAGGCACAGUCAUAAAUAACAGAACAUUUCUAAAGUGUCUUCCCUAAACCAAUUUGUAGUGAUUUCCCCUAAAAAGUUUCAGACAAAUUUUUAAAGAGAAUUUCUCUCUCAGUGAACAUAGACAACUCUGUUUUUUAAGAAUGCUUAUAAUUGAAUAUCUAAAAAUGAAAAUAUUUAUUUUUUUACUUAAUGGAAUAUCAGUAGAAUUAUUAUCAAAUAUAUACAUACCUAGCAUAAAGAAUAUAUAGUGAUAAAAGGAUGUACAUGCAACUAAAUAUGAUAUUUUGAUAUUUGGAACAGGUGGACCUUUCAAAAAAAAGGUUCCUAAUUAUUCCUAUACUGUUGAAAUUAUUUUAAUUUUGCAUCUCAGCAGAUAUAUUUGUAUGCUGGAAACAGGUGUUCAUCAAAAGACGGUGAUAAAGAGACAUUGCAGUUGGGCCUUGGAGCCUAGCCCGCAUGGUGUGAUGACAGAUAAAUUAGAAAAAUCCUGCUAAACAUCUCUACACUUCAGAAAGAGAUUACACCUUUUUAAAAAGGCAAAACAUGUGGUUCAAUUACUUAUUGUCUUGGCAUGUGGUUAUGAUGAAAGACGGAGUCUUAAACAUCAAUAGAGCUAAACUAACAUCCCAGAUGGGCUUCGGAAGAGGGGACUCCUGCAGCAAUCCACCUGCACAAAAAGCAACUGGGAAAAAAAAAAUUAAAGAAAUGCUUUUCUUCUCCUCCCCUGUUUAAUUUGUUUCUUUAUAUUAAAUAGCCAUUUAAUGAAUAACAUGAGCUUUGGGAAAAAAUAAGAGCAAAGAACUUUUAUUUAAAUGUAUUUUCUUGGAGAUUCAGUAUAAGAUGAAGCAGGUUUUCUGCAACUCUCAGCAGAGUGUUGUGCAGGUCUCGCAUGGGUCCUGAGAUAUGUAAGAGGUGAUCACAAAGCCCAGGGGAGAAAUGACAAUAUAGAUCUGCACAAUGCAUAGGACUAUGGAGACAACAAGCUAUGUGAUCUUAGGUAAAUAACAGAACCUCUCUGGGUCUCAUUUUUCACAUAUGCAAACUAUUGAAUUUGUGGUUCCAUUUGGUCUCAUGUGCUACAGUGUGAAUAUAAUCUUCACUUCAGUCAUAAUGCAUACAAAGUAAAUGCCACUGGAGACAAACAAUGUAGAAACUUAGAGGGGGACUAGCAUUUCUCCAUAAACCAGGCAUGACUACAGUAUACUCAGGCAUGACUACAGUACCCAACAGUUCUUCAGGUGUUCAGUACUCUAACAUAAGCUGGCCAAAAGUUAGUAGUGGAGCAAUGGGUGGUAAGGGGAGAGAAAUAAGGAAGGAUAAGAGGAAAAUUAUGAUCUAUUAACUAUAUGCAUUAUACUAAUUUUACAAUAAACCCAACCAAAAACUCUUUCAAGUAGGUAUUACUAAUCCAUUGCACAUGAAACUAAAAUAAUGACUACUAGCACCUAUUUAGCCAGAAUCAAACUAAGCACAUUUCAUUUAACAUUUAUAGGAACUCUAUAAAGUAGGUUCAGAAAUAAUGUCAUUUCUUUGCCACUCUUGUACUCUCAAAUACCAAAAUAAUUGUUAUCUUUUAGGCAAGCCUUGAUCACAUGCUCUGAACUAUGCUAGGGGCUUUCCCAAGCUUUAUUUAAUUUAAUCCUUUUGACAACCCUAUGAAUUGGUACUGUUGUCUCUAUGAAACAAAUGAUGAAACUGAGGCUUAGAGAGGUAGAAUAAUUUGCUCAAGGACAAAUAGUAAAUGAUAGAGCCAAGAAGAUGGAGUAAGAUCUUAUAAUCACUGCAGUAAACUGCCAUAAAAGACUCAAAGAGAUACGCUAAUGUCAGGUUACAAAGUUAAAUAGUAAUCAACAGAGGUGGGAAUCCCAGUAAGCCAUACUUCCAAGCUCUCUUUUUUCAACUUUCUGACAAGUGUAAAAACUGAACAGCAUCUGGCCAUCUUCAAUAAAUAUAUGUUUGGUGCCUGUUAUGUCCAACAUCCAACAUACUGUGCCAGGCUUGAUAAGAUAUAAAGAAGUAAGCAUCAUUCUCCCCAAACCCAUGAAAUUUACGAGCACCCUGGGGAAAUCAAGACAAACACUUAUGAAAGAUUUCAGAAAAACAGUAAGACUAUAUGGGUCAGAGUCAAAAAGAAUCAGUAGAGGCAACAGGUGCUGCAGGACAUGAGAGAGAACUCACUUGAAGUGAGACAGUCGGGCAAAGCAUGAGGGAGUGUGAGGAUGGGCAGGAUUUUUCAAGAACAGGGAAUGGGAGUUCCUGUCGUGGCACAGUGGUUAACGAAUCUGACUAGGAACCAUGAGGUUGUGGGUUCGAUCCCUGGCCUUGAUGAGGGGGUUAACGAUCCGGCGUUGCGGUGAGCUGUGGUGUAGGUUGCAGACAGGGCUCAGAUCCUAUGUUGCUGUGGCUCUGGCGUAGGCCGGUGGCUACAGCUCCGAUUAGACCCCUAGCCUGGGGACCUCCAUAU
rnacentral:lncRNA from 1 species